CUGUUGAGGAGCAAAACCAGAGUUGAGAUGCUGGACAGUUUAGGAAAAGGAAGAAAGAAGACCCUUAUUCAUGGAGACCACAUGUGAAGACGGAACACCCCAUUCCUCAUGUGGGCACUUCCACUGCUUGCUAAAACUGAUCUUUGGAUGCCCUCGUGCCUGUUGGAGAACCCAAAUAAGGAUUCAAGGUGACCGAGUACAAACACAAGCCGUGGCAUUUCGAAAUGAAGAGCAAGAAGUAGAAGGGAAAAUGCGUAUGUAGCAAUUUAAUGAGGUUUGGAUUACAAGUUCUGUUUCCUUGCCUUUUUGCCAGCAUGUGGCAAUGGUUUUAAAAGAGAAAGAAAACGGACUGAAUGCCAGGAAAAGACUAAGAUCCCCCAAAACUCAACCUUACAAACAGUCCUGGUGUAUUCACAAACCAGGAGUGUCAGGAAAAACUUUCUGGUUAUUCCAUGCUCCAUGAUGAAAACUAGCUAAAGUGAAAAAGAAAGUCAACGGAAUGAAAUAACCAGCUUUUAGUAAAGCUCAUCAUAUCAGAUGCAGCGAGUAGCAGGCGGUCCUGGCACAGUUGUCGAAACUAGAUGAGGACCGUGGCAUGGUCAAGGUGAAGCGAGUCUGACUUCCUGGCCUGCCCUCCCCACACUAAAAAUCAAGAAAAACCGCCCUUCUCCAGCACUGAGCGGCCCUGUAGGAACGGUGUCUCCCAGGAGUGCUUGUGGCUUACAAGUAAUGAAAAGAAGGCAGAUGCUGGCCCAUGAGAGCUGGCCAAUGAGAAUGCGACAAGAGCAGGCGGACUCUACUGGCAGUGGGGAAAUUGACCAGAUGCCACUUUUCACCAAAAAAGAAACUAUUCUACGUAUCAACAGUUGAAAUUUGUGCUAUGUUGGAGGAACAAGUCUGACAGUUUCCCAUAAGUUGCCCAGCUAUGUCAGGGGCAUUACUGAGCACCAUGUUGGUCUCAUUUUCUCAAGUAGGCUUCAUUAAGAAGGCAGGCAGUACACUGGAGCCGAAACGGCACUGAAAUGGGAGUUAGGAGAGAGGGGCCUCUGUGGCUAACAUGUCUUUGACCAGAAAUUUCCACUUCCAGGGGCUGCAGAAUCUUUAUUUGUAAAAUGAAGGUUUGGGUAUGAUGAUCUCUCAGAUCCCUUCCAGAUUCCCAAGACUAAAGUCUGCACAAUCACUAAAAGAAAUUCCAAUAUUCGUCCAGCUGUGUGUGUACAUAUAUACAUAAAUAUAUGUACUGCUUUAUACAUAUAUUUUUACGUAUACUUUACAAAAUAUAUAAAAUACAAAUUAAAAAGGACAUAAAGUAUGUCAAUUCUAAUAUUUUCUCUCCAAACCUCAAUAGUUUAUUUUAGACACUCCCUGGGGCCAGUUCAUAUCUCUUUAGAGAGCUCUGCUCUAAGCCACAUUUCAGUUCUGCUUUUCUGUACGGCUGUGAGAUGUGAAAUUACCAUUUUUACAGGGGCAAGGAAAGAACAUAAGUCAGUAUGGCAUGCCCUUUGCUUGCAUAUGAAAUACGUAAGAAAACUUUUUUUUUAAUAUGCAAUCUUCUUGAUUAAUCUUGUUAUAGUACUUUUAAAAGAGAAUAGUCACAGAGAAAUUUCUUUACUGAAGAAAGUCGCACUGUAAGCUUGUUGUAAAUGGCAACUGAUGCUUAAGCUGGAGGCAGGGAAAUAGUUGAGAGCAGUAGAGACUGGGGUAGUCUGGAGAGUGUAUGCAUCGUCCAAACACGGGAGCUGCUUUUCGGCUCCAGCGGGCUUUCCUCAGGCAGGAAUGGAAGCCUCGUGCUGCCAAAUGGGAUUUUUCAAGAGAAUCUCAGAGGACCUAGAUUUUAAUGUGAAGUUAAUUUCUCCAAUUAAUGUUGCUCAAAAAUUUUAGAGCCGAGCAUAUGACGAUGGGCUGUGGGCAGGCCCUCGGUGAUCCCUGAUCUCAUAUUCAGUUGAUUUAGCUCUGGAAAUUUUUGUGAUAAUAUUGGCACUUUGCAGUCGGACAUCCAAGCUCUGAGCAGGGUGAUUAUGUAUGUGUCAGACAGAAAAAUGUGAAACGUCAUUUCAUUAAGAUCAUGUUUUUCUCUCACCAGCUUUUUGAAAGGGGCCACUUCUUGAAUCCUCUUAAGGCUGCCCCAUCAGACCAGUGAUCUAUGUUGCUUAGUCAUAAAAAUAAGGAAAAUAUUACAUUGCUCUUGAUUUAUCUGGUACUUUUGCAUAUGGAAAUCUCAUAGAAAAAUGUAUUAUUUUAAACAAAUCUUGCGUUUUACUAGAUCAGUGAUUAGCAAACUUUUUCACAGAUAUUUUUUAGUAAAUAUUUAGGCUUUGUGGGCCAUAUGAUCUCUGUCGCAACUGCUCAAUUCUAUACAGCUAUGCAAAAGCAGCCGUAAACCAUACAGACGAAUGAGCCUGGCUGAGUUCCAAUAAAACUUUAUUCAAACCAGCAGGCUGUGGGUCAGAUUUGGCCUAGGAGCUAUAGUCUGUCAGCUCCUGGAUUAAAUCAUAAGCUCUUCUAAGGUGUAACCUGUGUCUGAUUCAACUCUGCAUCUUCAGUCCACACAAAUCCCGGCACAGAGGAGGCACUCCAUGAACAUUUGCUAAAAUAAAUUGAAGGUUGUGGAAUUUAGCACUUUGUCAAUAAUAAUUCACUCCCCGUAGGAGUGAUAGAAAACCCAUGGUAGGGUUUACGGGUUGUGUCCACCCUGAGGCUACAGCAGCAUAUGAAUCCCCUCAGGGAGUUUGUGGCACAUCCACAUGUUCUCAGCAAGGGAAGGAGGCACCCAACCAGGCUGAGGAAGCAACCUAAGAGACUGCUUAGACCCCACACUUAGCCUGAUGGGCCAAAGAACAAGAGCCACAGGAAGACCCUCGUAAUUUCACAGACAGGCUUCUUCCAAAUCUUUCCUCAACUCUUCUUUCAACAACUUAAGUGACAAAUACCAAGCACCUAGUGUGUCCUCACGCUGUCGUGCAGUGGUUCUCAAAAUUCGGGUUAUGACCCAGUGCACAUGCACUAAAACGCUUCCCAAAACUAUUGCUACUCUUCUUUCCCAUCUCUGAAUUUAUUUUAUUGUUUCAGCUGAGGUGUAAUUGACAUAUAACAUUCUAUUAGUUUCAGACGUGCGACAUAAUGAUUCAAUAUUUGUAUGUAUGGUAAAACGAUCACCACAGUGAGUCCAGUUAACACCCAUCCCAUCCAUAGUUACAAAAUUUUGUUUCUUUUAAGUCGAUCAGAACUUUUAAGGUUUACUCCCUUAGCAACCUUCAAAUACGCAAUGCAGUGCUGUUAACUAUAGUCAGUAUGCUGUUCAUUAUAUUCCUCGUGACUUAUUUUAAAACUGGAAGUUUGUACCUUUUGAGCCCCUUCACCUAUUUCACCCAACCCCCACCCCUUGCCUCUGGCAACUACCAGUCUAUUCUCUGCAUCUGUGAGUUGAGGGGUUUUCUGAUUUUUAGAUUCCCCACCUAAGUGAGAUCCCAUGGUUAUUUGUUAUCUCUAUCUGACUUAUUUCACUUAACAUAAUGUCCACAAGGUCCAAACAUAUUGUCACAAAUUGGCGAAAUUUCCUUCUUUUUUACUGCUGAAUAGUAGUCUAUUACAUAUAUUUCUUUACCCAUUCAUUUUCUUUAUCGAUUCCGCUAUCCAUGGACAGUUAGGUUGUUUCCAUAUCUUGGCUAAUUCUUACCCUUAGUAAGUAUCACAAUCCUCUGGGAUAUGUUGUCAUUGCUUAUAUUUGAUUUAUUUUUAGUGCUGGUCGCAACUCUCUAAGUUGAUUUUAUCAUUCACUGGGUAUGGCAUUUGGUUUGAAAGUCAAAGGAAAAGAUUCAGUUCUUGUCCUAAAGGGAUUUAUAAUCUCAUUGGAGAGCUAAGACACGUGCAUACCAACAUCUAUGGAAUAGUCUGACAGGAGACAAGUUACAGCAUUUGCAGCACUGGGGGUUCUUCAUUGGUAUAACUGGAGUUUUAAAAACCAUGGAUGAGUGGUGGUAUUGGUCUGAGCUGGAGCCUUGACACCUGGAAAAUCCGCCUGAAAGGAGGAGUGGGGGAGAAAGGAGUGAAUUGGGAUGACCCCACUUUAGGAAGAGAAGUAAAUCUUCCAGAUAAAGAGGCAGCACAGGGCAGCUUCUUUUCUCCCAGUUCCAUUCCCAGGGUGAAGGAGAACUUGAAUUGAAAUUUGGCAGAGCUUUGUUGACUAGAACAGUGUGUGAGAGAAUUAAAGAGGAAUGAGAGGUCCACAUGACUUAUUCCAAAAGCCAAGUAGAGUUACUAGAGGGGACGGUCUGAGAAGAGGAUGAUUUUGCUAAGUGAGUGUAACUCUUGGGAGGAAAGAGAAGACGAAAUGUGAAGAUUGGUGAGGUCAAUCUAGACGUGCAGUUAUAAAAAAAAUUUGAAGGAUUUUAUUUUUGGUUAAUAAGAUUUUUAAGUUAGGAAAUAUAGAAGCACAGCUUCCUUUGGCUGAGAGGCCCUAGUUUAUCAUAUCUGGCAUGAUUUUGGGUAAAUAAUGGGGAAAAGAACCAAGCUAGAGACUUUGAGUGUUGAAAUGGUCAGAUUAAUUAGGUUUGAUAGCCACAUGCAAGUUAUCAGUAAAAACAUUCUGACUGUAGGAGUGAAGAGGCAAGGAAUGGAAAGGAUGGAACUGGCAGAAGGGCCCAAUAAUCAAAAACGUAGAAGCAACCACAUAGGUUUUCAUUAACAUAAAGAAGUUACGAAGCAAAUGACUCUUGUAGAAAAGCUCUGGAAGUGAGAACCAAGCCAGGUUGGAGAAAAAAAUCAAUAGAAAUGCCUAUAAAACCUCUUGGGACACAUAAAUGAAUGCUCAAGAAAGACAUGUAUAUUUGAGAAUCAGAAAACAAAGGACUAUAUACAAUGGCUUAAGAGAAAAGGAGACAAGACAUACAGAAAAUAGAGGCUUAGUAUUGAAACCUGGAGGAGAAGGAAAUAAUGAAAAUAGAUAUGGAUUUUCAUUAUUAUGUAUAAUUCAAAUCUUAUGGAGAAAAAAAUCAUAACAGCAACAAAAGUCUUAUUUGAAGAUCAUUUUCAUGUUGACAAUUUUUUUUUUCUCGAGGAUGAUUAGCCCUGAGCUAACAUUUGUUGCCAAUCCUCCUCUUUUUGCUGAGGAAGAUUAGUGCUGAGCUAACAUCCGUACCCAUCUUCCUCUACUUCAUAUGUGGGAUGCCUUUCACAGCAUCGCUUGACAAGCGGUGCGUAGGUCUGCAUGUGGGAUACAAACCUGUGGACCCUGGGCCACUGAAAUGGAGUGUGCUAACUUAACCCUGCGCCACCAGGCUGGCCCCUCAUGUUGACAAUUUUACAAUGAGAUUUUCAGUCCAAAGGGCUUUAUGAAAUAAAUAUACAAAAAAGUAGUAAAAUAAUAAUGAAGCAGAGUUGAUGACGUUCUCUAUUACACAGACGAUGGUGUCUUGGAAAUCAAUAAUCUGAUUUAUAGACACUUAAGGGAGAGUGUCUAUAAUUACCUCCUAAUCAUGUAAACUGCCAAAUGUUUCUUAAAAUACAAUUAAUUUUAA
ensembl:lncRNA